rnacentral:rRNA from 1 species
AGCAGUAGCCGCGGGAAUACGAAGGGUGCAAGCGUUAAUCGGAAUUACUGGGCGUAAAGCGCACGCAGGCGGUUUGUUAAGUCAGAUGUGAAAUCCCCGGGCUCAACCUGGGAAUGGCAAUGGAUACUGGCAAGCUAGAGUGUGUCAGAGGAUGGUGGAAUUCCCGGUGUAGCGGUGAAAUGCGUAGAGAUCGGGAGGAACAUCAGUGGCGAAGGCGGCCAUCUGGGACAACACUGACGCUGAGGCACGAAAGCGUGGGGAGCAAACAGGAUUAGAUACCCCGGUAGUCCCUGUCUCUUAUAC